rnacentral:rRNA from 1 species
UACGGAGGAUCCAAGCGUUAUCCGGAAUUACUGGGCGUAAAGAGUUGCGUAGGUGGCAUUGUAAGUCGGUAGUGAAAGCGUGGGGCUCAACCUCAUAACCAUUAUCGAAACUGCAAAGCUAGAGGACGAGAGAGGUAAUUGGAAUUCCCAGUGUAGGAGUGAAAUCCGUAGAUAUUGGGAGGAACACCGAUGGCGUAGGCAGAUUACUGGCUCGUUCCUGACACUAAGGCACGAAAGCGUGGGGAGCAAACGGG